rnacentral:lncRNA from 10 species
GCUGGAUGUUCCAGAAAGGACACUCAGUUCUUCAGGGCUGUCUCUGUGAUCCAGGCUUUGAUCUGGGAAAGGUUGCGCCUCAUUGCAGAGUUGAAGCUAUCUGCCUGCUUUGUUUACACGAACGCCCUUCCAGGACUCUGUCUGCUUUUGGGGUGGAAGUGCCCUGCCAAAAACUCCAGCUCUCCAUGCUGGCUGUGUGGCCAGCAUACCUCCUGCCUUUUCAACGAUUCCUCUGCCCUGGAUAGAGAGCGGUGUCUCAUAACAGUUUGGAAACUACAAAAGUUUCCCUGGCAGGAUGAAUGAUUGACUCGGCAACAUGUUCUUGCCUUUUGGAGUUGCCCUCCAAUUUUUCCAGGCUUGAUUCUGUAAAUCAUUUCAUCUUGUAAAAAUACUGGGCUGUGAGCACGGAUGAUCUCAAAGAUGAGGAAACAGAAGCUGGGAUAUGUGAGUAAACAUUUCCAAGGUCCUGCAGCUAAUCAAUGGUUGACAACUUCUUUCCUCUGCCUAUGUUGCCAUCCAUGUCAUGGUUUGUGUCAAGACUCUAGGAGAAGUCUACCAUCAGCACCACAGCUACUGUGCACAAAUCCAGAAUGCCAGACUGAAGUCAGAAGGAAAGAAAGAAGAUUGGAAAAAUCUCCCAUGACCAAGGAAAAUUGUGAAAAAUAUUUCUGAUAUUUUGUCUAUGCAUUUUAUUUUUGAGGGUGUUUUUUAUAUUAGUGUGACUAUUUUGUAUUUCCUACCCUGUUGUAAACUUUUUAAAAAUUGCUCUUACAGUUAUUACUAAGUAUAUGAUUUAAAAUCCCUAAUUAGGGUUCUUAAACAAGGGAGAAGCACUCUCAUACCCCUAGAACAAGAUGAACAAAAGAAGGAGGAAAAAUCUUGACCUCCGUAAGAUCCAGGAUGGCACGUGCAAGGCACUGACACAGCAUCUGCCGGCAUCACUGACUCUCCUGGACCCCAGAAGCCCAGUUCCCCAGGCUCUGAAACCCUGCAGCAAUGAAAAGGAAGCACAGGCAAACCAUAAGGAAGAUAAUUUUUCUACUAAAAAAUAAAUAGAAAUGCAUCCUUAGAGGCAGGUUUCAUGAGGACACAGAGAAUCCGGUUUUGUGUGUGCCUGAUUUCGUUUUUCUGUCAAAGAGAUACAAAACAAUCAACUGAGUUAUCUUGAACUUACAAAGAUUAAAAAUAAUCAAUUCCUGUUACUAUUUUCAAUUUUUCCCCCAUUUUACUUCUUUAGGUAUGAAGAAAUGUAGCCUAUUAAAACCUGGAUUAAUAAAAACCUUUCAUUAACUUUU